rnacentral:rRNA from 1 species
GAGUUUGAUCCUGGCUCCGGAUAAACGCUGGCGGCGCACAUAAGACAUGCAAGUCGAACGGAAGUCGUUAUAAUGAUUUUGAUUUGGAUUUGAUGAUUCGUCUGAUAUGAAGAAGAUGAUGAUUUAUAACAAUGGCUUUAGUGGCGGACUGGUGAGUAACGCGUAAGCAAUCUGCCUAUUAGAGGGGAAUAACAGUGAGAAAUCAUUGCUAAUACCGCAUAUGCCAUAGUUAUCGCAUGAUAAUAGUGGGAAAGGAGUAAUCCGCUAAUAGAUGAGCUUGCGUCUGAUUAGUUAGUUGGUGGGGUAACGGCCUACCAAGACCACGAUCAGUAGCCGGACUGAGAGGUUGAACGGCCACAUUGGGACUGAGAUACGGCCCAGACUCCUACGGGAGGCAGCAGUCGGGAAUAUUGCGCAAUGGAGGAAACUCUGACGCAGUGACGCCGCGUAUAGGAUGAAGGUUUUCGGAUUGUAAACUAUUGUCGUUAGGGAAGAUAAAAGACAGUACCUAAGGAGGAAGCUCCGGCUAACUACGUGCCAGCAGCCGCGGUAAUACGUAGGGAGCAAGCGUUAUCCGGAUUUAUUGGGUGUAAAGGGUGCGUAGACGGGAAGACGAGUUAGUUGUGAAAUCCCUCGGCUUAACUGAGGAACUGCAACUAAAACUAUCUUUCUUGAGUGCGGGAGAGGAAAGUGGAAUUCCUAGUGUAGCGGUGAAAUGCGUA